AUGCUGCCUUUGGAUUUCAGGUUCUUGGGGAUGUACCGUCACCCCCCAACCGGCGAAUACAGGUACAGGGUACUGAUGUACCCGUGUCCGGCAGCUGGGAGGGAAGCUGGCUGCUAUGUUUUAUCGUUGAGCUCCGGCCAACCACCUAGAUGCGUCGUCGGGCCGGGGGAAGUGCAUAAAGAAGUCAUAUUCGGCACCAAGUCUGUGCUAGUCCGUGGCGGGCUGCAUUGGUACCGGGUGCAGCAGCACGUGGGCGAAAGCAACAUGAUAAUUGUGUUUGACACCACAGCCAAGACGUUCCGACAGAUGCGCGUCCCCGUUGUUCGUGGUACCACCUGUGAUGGGCUGUUUGAGAUGGAUAGCAUGCUCGGCAUGUCUAGCUUUAACGACAAAGCGACAAGCAUUGAUAUUUGGGUGUUGUAG
rnacentral:rRNA from 1 species